UACGAAGGGGGCUAGCGUUGCUCGGAAUCACUGGGCGUAAAGCGCACGUAGGCGGAUUGCUAAGUCAGGGGUGAAAUCCUGGAGCUCAACUCCAGAACUGCCUUUGAUACUGGCGAUCUCGAGUCCGGGAGAGGUGAGUGGAACUGCGAGUGUAGAGGUGAAAUUCGUAGAUAUUCGCAAGAACACCAGUGGCGAAGGCGGCUCACUGGCCUGGUACUGACGCUGAGGUGCGAAAGCGUGGGGAGCAAACAGG
rnacentral:rRNA from 1 species